UACGGGGGGAGCAAGCGUUGUUCGGAUUUACUGGGCGUAAAGGGCGCGUAGGCGGUCAGCACAAGUCAGUUGUGAAAUCUCCGGGCUUAACUCGGAAAGGUCAACUGAUACUGUGCGACUAGAGUGCGGAAGGGGCAACUGGAAUUCUUGGUGUAGCGGUGAAAUGCGUAGAGAUCAUGAGGAAGACCAGUGGCGAAGGCGGGUCGCUGGACAGUUCCUGACACUGAGACACGAAGGCCAGGGGAGCAAACGGG
rnacentral:rRNA from 1 species